rnacentral:sRNA from 1 species
UUGCCUUAGCAUGGCUACCUAGGGAUCUGUUCACUGAUUUAGAGGGUCCCAGAGCUCUGGGUCGGGACUGAGGUGAAAGAGCGGAAAAACGCGAGAAGCGGUGUUCCUUCUACACAGAGGCUAGAGUGCGGAUCGGCUGAGUCGGCUGCAGGCGCCCCUGCCUCCGUCAGCGUCCAGGUGACCGCCGUUCCCGCCCCGCUCUUCCCUGGCUGGACUGGAGGAGGCCGCGCCGAUGAACCUGACCGAGGUGCGUGCAGCGUCCCAGGCCGCCCCGCCCAACCCCUCCUCCCAGUGCUGAAGUCCCAAGGAGCCGCCCUGCAGGCCGAAAGAAUGAGGGUCGUGAUCAACUCAGUAUGCCACUGGAGGCUAUAUGAGUAAACAGCAAACUGUUUCUCAUGAAAGCAGGAUGUUGGCAAACUGACAAACUGCGUCUGCCACCCAGAAGGAAUGCUGAAGGCAGUCACGACCCAGGCACAAGUGUUUCUUGUGAUUAGGCAUAAUUGAAGCCUGUUAACAAUAAUGUGAACUUGUGAUCAAUUAAGCAGCUGACCAGUCGUUACCUCCUCCUCCCUUUCAUCCUACCCAAUAAAUGUGGAGGGCUGUGGAAGCUCAGGGGCUGCCUUUGCUCACUAGAAGCAGGGAGCUCUCUUCUUCCCCAGUUCGCCUUCUUUAAAACA